UACGGGGGGAGCAAGCGUUGUUCGGAUUUACUGGGCGUAAAGGGCGCGUAGGCGGUCAGCACAAGUCAGUUGUGAAAUCUCCGGGCUUAACUCGGAAAGGUCAACUGAUACUGUGCGACUAGAGUGCGGAAGGGGCAACUGGAAUUCUCGGUGUAGCGGUGAAAUGCGUAGAGAUGUGGAGGAACACCAGUGGCGAAGGCGGCUUUUUGGUCUGUAACUGACGCUGAGGCGCGAAAGCGUGGGGAGCAAACAGG
rnacentral:rRNA from 1 species